AUUUGCUACACACUUAGCUGGGCAGAUAUAAAAUUGUAGUGAACCAAAAUAAAAAAAAAAUGCAAUUUGCUCAAGCUUGAUUCAAGCAGAAUUGUUUCUCGGGAUGGAAGGCAUCAGAUAUGUGAGAUGCAUCAUAAAGGUCCCAAUAUCAGCCAUCCAUUUUGCACUCUGAUAGCGGUGAUCCAAAUCACUUCCAAUGGAACCACGACUAUUCAAGCCAGGAAGACAAGUGAUAUCUCUAUCACCUAUUAUAACCUGUUGGAUCAACACGUCAAGACCUACUGCAAACACCAUUCUUAUUGUUUUUGCCUUUGUUGGUCUUAGUAGACUGUACAGAUUUCUUGAUUUUAUGAUUUGGACAACGAGCUGAUGGAGAUAAAGCUGUAAAGUGGAGUUCUAUCUACGUUCAAUGGUAUUU
rnacentral:lncRNA from 1 species